AACCAUAGAAACCUGCGGAGUACCUGCGGAGGGAUCAUUACCACGCGAUCCAAAACGCAACACCCUGUAUGUGUGUGGUCGAGGCUCGGGUGCGCUCUUCUUCGCGGAAGGGCAACCUGGGACUCGGCCACGCCGCCUCGAGGUGCGCGCUGCUUUCGAACGUGCCCGCUCGACUCGAGUUCCUCGGCAACGAGCCUCGACCUGGUCGCGGCUGACGCUGCUUCGCCGUGUGUGCAAGAC
rnacentral:misc_RNA from 1 species